rnacentral:rRNA from 1 species
AGAGUUUGAUCAUGGCUCAGAGUGAACGCUGGCGGCGUGCCUAACACAUGCAAGUCGAACGAGAACGGAUUACAGCUUGCUGUAAUUGUCAGCUAAGUGGCGCACGGGUGAGUAAUAUAUAGUUAAUCUGCCCCAAAGAAGAGAAUAAUUGUUGGAAACGACUUGUAAUGCUCUAUAUGCCUUUAUCACAUAAGUGAGCAAGGGAAAUAUUUAUAGCUUUGGGAUGAGACUGUACGGUAUCAGCUAGUUGGUGAGGUAAUGGCUCACCAAGGCUAUGACAUCUAACUGGUUUGAGAGGAUGAUCAGUCACACUGGAACUGAGACACGGUCCAGACUCCUACGGGAGGCAGCAGUGGGGAAUAUUGCACAAUGGAGGAAACUCUGAUGCAGCAACGCCGCGUGGAGGAUGACACAUUUCGGUGCGUAAACUCCUUUUAUUAGGGAAGAUAAUGACGGUACCUAAUGAAUAAGCACCGGCUAACUCCGUGCCAGCAGCCGCGGUAAUACGGGGGGUGCAAGCGUUACUCGGAAUCACUGGGCGUAAAGAGCAUGUAGGCUGGAGAUUAAGUUGGAAGCGAAAUCCUAUGGCUCAA